ensembl:lncRNA
GGCUGAGUGAAUCAUAAACUGGUAUUCUCAUAUCAGCAAGUCUGGGAACCAUUAGUACCAAAUUCACUACCUUACACUACUUCACAAGAGCAUCGGACAGCUCUCUAUUCAAUUCAAAGAAAUUUUGGAGGAAGUGUCGCGUAAACUCCAGAUGGUAACUGAGGUGCACCUAGAUGUUGACUGCAACGCCUAUAGAUCUUGGUGAAACAAACCCACAUUUUAGGUUUUGUGUUGUAUUUUUGUCCCACAGAAAAAUACAGUAACUGCGUUGACUCUACUAGGGACUUCAAAGCAAGAAGAAAAAUGAAAAGAUGGCAGCAGAGGGACAGUCUGACACAUCAGCAUGUGACAUGGAAGUACAUACGGAGAAAAGGUCUUCAAGUCUGGAUCAUGAAAGCUGACAGCCUUAUUUUCUUUCUGGAUUUUCGUAGUCAGGAGACCUUUCUGCUGUAUGAACUAUUCACUUGUAAACAUACUAUCUGCAAGAUGGAAUAUUGCAGAUAUUCUCUAACCCACUGAAAAAUCAUGCUCAGAAGAAAUUGUGCAAGUGACACCAGUUUUCCUCUCUGGUACUGAAUGAAAUUAAGUUAUAAUAAAGUAUGUCACUGUAGAUUCAUUCCAAUGUAUUUUUCUACUGUUGUGGAAAGUCAUUUUCAUGGCAAGGAUUUUUUGGUUUAAACUUCUCAUACAAAACAAGGCAUAAAGUCUAACAAAUGGAGCAGACUAUUUCUGACUGUUAUUUUAUUUAUUGCUGGUCUAACAUUGAAUUUGAUUUAUUUUGGGUAACAAAAAUAACAGUUUUCUACCCUAGAGACAAUUAGUUUUAUGCUUUGUAUAAUUUGGUACAUCUUUACAACAUCUGAAUCUACUUCCCAGUAACAGAUUCAAAUGUCACACAGUUAAAAGUUCCUACAUAAAAGAGGAAAACAGUAAAUAUCAAGUGCAUUUCUGUGACUGCUCUUAUCUAUAUUAACAUUCCAGAAUACUUCUCAAACUUAAGCAGCUACUGGGAAUAGGUUUCUCUUUUUUUCUUUUUCUUGCUAAAUGCAACUAUCUGUAUAUUCAACUAUAUUUUUUCAACAAUAUACAUUUAAGAAAGAAAGAAAGAAAAAAAAAACAAAUACUGAAAUGUUCCAUUGGUUUUACAGCUGACCUUCUUCACUGAUUUGAACUGGGAAAGCAAAAUAUAAUUUCUUGCACUUGUCCCAUACAAAUAUUAUUUUUCAUUUUAUAAUGAUCUGAAUGAAACCUUAUGGCAGCCAGGAACUCCUUUCAUUUCCUAUGGCCAAAUCUUUUCAGUUGUCUCAAUUUAUUUGAACCUGACAGGACAAGAGGUAAUGGUUUUAAAGUUAAGGAGGGAAAGUUUUAAUUAGGUAUGAGAAAGUCAUUUUUCACUAUAGGGGUGAUGAGACACUGGAACUGGUUGCCCAGAGAAGAUGCUGAAAUCCCAUUUUCAAGGCCAAGUUGGAUGUGACUUUGAGCAACCUGGUACAGAGAAAGUUGUCCCUGCCCACAGCAGCGGGGUAGGAACUAGAUUAUCUUUAAUGCCCUUUUCAACCCAAGCCAUUCUACAAUUCUAUGAUUCUAUGUUAAGAAGUUUUUGCCUUCAGAGGGCAUAAAAUAUAACGGUAUGACAACUUUAAAUUCAUCUUCAACUAAAUCAUAAAGAUUAGUAAACAAACUGACUACUGAUUGGGAAGUCAAAACUUGUCUGCACACGCAUGGUGACAAACGAAUUCCCCUCUUUUGCUGCUCUGCCCUGUCUUGCUUUGAAAUAUUGCUUAUCUGUCAGAAGCUAUGUAGAGGAUCUUGAACCUAGGUGGUUGUGCCAGCCACCACAUUUGAAAAAUAUCAUUCAACUAAGCAGAAAGUGUUGCUGCAACAGAAAAGAAAACAGUCCUUAAAAAGUUUAUCUCUUGCAUCAGAAUUCUCUCUUUUGAAAAUAAUUUGAAUUUUCAAAGCCCCUCAUUGUUGUCCUGAAAGGAAUUCUUCUACACAGAGAUGAAAGUUUUAUAAAAUAUAUUCAAAGUUGAUGGUUUCUAAAACACUGUGUAAUAGCAUAUUAUGUGUUGUAUGAUAUUUAAUGUUAAUGACUUGAAUAAAAAACCCUUGGUGGGAAUUCAUUUGAUUUUUUGUAGCUUGAAUCUUAUGACUAAAUCUUCCCAUUAAAUUUAGUUUUAGUAUUUAAGUGUUUAAUUUUUACAUAUCUCUAGAUGGUAAGCAGAAUCUGUGUGAUGACACAUGGUACAGAGACUAUGAUAUUACAAAGAUUCACACUAAAUUCUGUAAUUAAUUUUGACAGUCAAAUAUUGCUACAGUUUUUAAAAAUGCUAAAUUUGCUGAACAAAUUCUGUAGGAAUUAAAGAAUUAUUUCAGGUUUCUGUUCAAAGUCUCAAAGAAAAAACAAACUAAAACAACAAGAAAAAGUGAAUUGCUUUUCCAUAUUGAGGAUAUAGAAUUCAGGGUGUUUUCUCAGAGAGGACUGUUUUGUUGGUAUAUUGUCAGACAGAAGGUUGAAACUGAAAUUUGAAACCAUGAAUUUUAUGAUUUUUUUUUUUUUACAUCUUUAUCAGUAAGGUUUUUCUCUUUAAAAUGUAUGGGAAGUAAACACUAUAAUAAAACAUACGUAAAACUUCUGAUUUUGUUGUUGCUGUUAUUCUCUGAUCAUUGACUAUCAUGUAAUUACAAGCAUUACAAACUCAUGCUGUAACAGAAUUUUGAUUAUCUGUAAUGACUUCAAGUACCCCUUAUUGGUUGUGGUAAAAUCCUGUUAAUUAUAAAUGAGUAUUUGUCAGCAAGGAAUGAGGUAUCGGUUUAUGCUGGUGAUGCUCAAGGACUUCAAAUGUUUCAUUUUUUCAAGGAAAUGCAAGGAGAAGGGUCUCUAAUAUAUGACAUUUCAAAAGGGACAUAAUUUCUACAUCCUUCACACUCGCUUCUCAACUCAAGUUGAGUAGUGCUAGAAGAAAGGAUGAACGGACUCCGUAGUGCCCAUAAUUUGUUCUACUUGCAGCGUAUAAAUAUAUAUGUAAUCUUUUCCUAAAUUGUUGUUCUGAGAAUGUUUUGUAAAAGACAGAAUAUUUACAAUAAAAUGGCUGCAG